AUGGACUGGAGUUUGAGAAUCCUUUUCUUCAUGGCAGUAGCUUCAGGUGUUUGCUCCCAGGUCAAUCUGGUACAAAUCAGGACCUACAGUGACCAUGCCUGGGGUAUAUCAGUGAAAGUCUCUUGCAAGGCAUCUGGAUACACUAUUGCCAGUUAUGAAAUUCACUGGUUGCAGCAGAACCUGGAUGAAGUUGAUGCAACAGAAUAUGCACAGAAGUUCCAGGGAAGAGUCACUAUGACAAGUGAUCUAUCUAAAAGCACAGUUUACAUGGAGUUGAACAGUCUGAGUUCAGAGGACAUGGCUGUUUAUUACUGAAGCCCACACUGUGCUGCUGCACUGUCGCAGCAACUCCAUGAGGCUCCCACAGCCAGAACCUAUGGAUUCCGUCACCCAAGAUGGAUGGUAGGCACCAGGCCUCCCCAAGACGGGUGCAGCGGAGCCACCACACUGCUGCAAAGUGGACUUGUUCUGGGGGGAAUUCUUAGAGCCAAGAUGGUGGCAGUGGGGGAAGCGGGAGGCCACCGGCUGCCCAAGCUGGAGAUGGGACGCACAUCCGGCCGCCUGCAGGUUUGA